GACGAACGCUGGCGGCGUGCUUAACACAUGCAAGUCGAACGGAAAGGCCCUGCUUUUGUGGGGUGCUCGAGUGGCGAACGGGUGAGUAACACGUGAGUAACCUGCCCUUGACUUUGGGAUAACUUCAGGAAACUGGGGCUAAUACCGGAUAGGAGCUCCUGCUGCAGGGUGGGGGGUGGAAAGUUUCGGCGGUUGGGGAUGGACGCGCGGCUGAUCAGCUUGUUGGUUGGGUAGUGGCUUACCAAGGCUUUGACGGGUAGCCGGCCUGAGAGGGUGGACGGCGACAUUGGGACUGAGAUACGGCCCAGACUCCUACGGGGGGCAGCAGUGGGGAAUCUUGCACAGUGGGAGGAAGCCUGAUGCAGCGACGCCGCGUGCGGGAUGACGGCCUUCGGGUUGUAAACCGCUUUCGCCUGUGACGAAGCGUGAGUGACGGUAAUGGGUGAAGAAGCACCGGCUAACUACGUG
rnacentral:rRNA from 1 species